rnacentral:rRNA from 1 species
CGAACGGUGAAGCCCAGCUUGCUGGGUGGAUCAGUGGCGAACGGGUGAGUAACACGUGAGCAACCUGCCCUCCACUUCGGGAUAAGCCUUGGAAACGGGGUCUAAUACCGGAUAUGAGCUCGCAUCGCAUGGUGUGGGUUGGAAAGUUUUUCGGUGGGGGAUGGGCUCGCGGCCUAUCAGCUUGUUGGUGGGGUGAUGGCCUACCAAGGCGUCGACGGGUAGCCGGCCUGAGAGGGCGACCGGCCACACUGGGACUGAGACACGGCCCAGACUCCUACGGGAGGCAGCAGUGGGGAAUAUUGCACAAUGGGCGCAAGCCUGAUGCAGCGACGCCGCGUGAGGGAUGACGGCCUUCGGGUUGUAAACCUCUUUCAGCAGGGAAGAAGCGCAAGUGACGGUACCUGCAGAAGAAGCGCCGGCUAACUACGUGCCAGCAGCCGCGGUAAUACGUAGGGCGCAAGCGUUGUCCGGAAUUAUUGGGCGUAAAGAGCUCGUAGGCGGUCUGUCGCGUCUGGUGUGAAAUCCCGAGGCUCAACCUCGGGCUUGCAUCGGGUACGGGCAGACUAGAGUGCGGUAGGGGAGACUGGAAUUCCUGGUGUAGCGGUGGAAUGCGCAGAUAUCAGGAGGAACACCGAUGGCGAAGGCAGGUCUCUGGGCCGCAACUGACGCUGAGGAGCGAAAGCAUGGGGAGCGAACAGGAUUAGAUACCCUGGUAGUCCAUGCCGUAAACGUUGGGCACUAGGUGUGGGGCUCAUUCCACGAGUUCCGUGCCGCAGCUAACGCAUUAAGUGCCCCGCCUGGGGAGUACGGCCGCAAGGCUAAAACUCAAAGGAAUUGACGGGGGCCCGCACAAGCGGCGGAGCAUGCGGAUUAAUUCGAUGCAACGCGAAGAACCUUACCAAGGCUUGACAUGUACGAGAAAGCCCCCGAGACGGGGUUCUCUUUGGACACUCGUACACAGGUGGUGCAUGGUUGUCGUCAGCUCGUGUCGUGAGAUGUUGGGUUAAGUCCCGCAACGAGCGCAACCCUCGUCCUAUGUUGCCAGCGGGUUAUGCCGGGGACUCAUGGGAGACUGCCGGGGUCAACUCGGAGGAAGGUGGGGAUGACGUCAAAUCAUCAUGCCCCUUAUGUCUUGGGCUUCACGCAUGCUACAAUGGCCGGUACAGAGGGCUGCGAUACCGUAAGGUGGAGCGAAUCCCAAAAAGCCGGUCUCAGUUCGGAUUGGGGUCUGCAACUCGACCCCAUGAAGUCGGAG